rnacentral:rRNA from 1 species
CCUACGGGAGGCAGCAGUGGGGAAUCUUGGGCAAUGGGCGCAAGCCUGACCCAGCAACGCCGCGUGAAGGAAGAAGGCUUUCGGGUUGUAAACUUCUUUUCUGAGGGACGAAGAAAGUGACGGUACCUCAGGAAUAAGCCACGGCUAACUACGUGCCAGCAGCCGCGGUAAUACGUAGGUGGCAAGCGUUAUCCGGAUUUAUUGGGUGUAAAGGGCGUGUAGGCGGGAAAGCAAGUCAGAUGUGAAAACGCAGGGCUCAACCCUGAGCCUGCAUUUGAAACUGUUUUGCUUGAGUGCUGGAGAGGCAAUCGGAAUUCCGUGUGUAGCGGUGAAAUGCGUAGAUAUAAGGAGAAACACCAGUGGCGAAGGCGGAUUGCUGGACAGUAACUGACGCUGAGGCGCGAAAGCGUGGGGAGCAAACAGGAUUAGAUACCCCUGUAGUC